ensembl:lncRNA XIST X inactive specific transcript
GGACAUGGUGGUGAGCCGUGGCAAGGACCAGAAUGGAUCACAGAUGAUCGUUGGCCAACAGGUGGCAGAAGAGGAAUUCCUGCCUUCCUCAAGAGGAACACCUACCCCUUGGCUAAUGCUGGGAUGCCACCUAUAGAAAAGUCAGAGGGUCCAGAUCCCAUUGAAGAUACCACGCUGCAUGUGUCCUUAGUAGUCAUGUCUCCUUAGGCUCCUCUUGGACAUUCUGAGCAUGUGAGACCUGAGGACUGCAAACAGCUAUAAGAGGCUCCAAAUUAAUCAUAUCUUUCCCUUUGAGAAUCUGGCCAAGCUCCAGCUAAUCUACUUGGAUGGGUUGCCAGCUAUCUGGAGAAAAAGAUCUUCCUCAGAAGAAUAGGCUUGUUGUUUUACAGUGUUAGUGAUCCAUUCCCUUUGACGAUCCCUAGGUGGAGAUGGGGCAUGAGGAUCCUCCAGGGGAAAAGCUCACUACCACUGGGCAACAACCCUAGGUCAGGAGGUUCUGUCAAGAUACUUUCCUGGUCCCAGAUAGGAAGAUAAAGUCUCAAAAACAACCACCACACGUCAAGCUCUUCAUUGUUCCUAUCUGCCAAAUCAUUAUACUUCCUACAAGCAGUGCAGAGAGCUGAGUCUUCAGCAGGUCCAAGAAAUUUGAACACACUGAAGGAAGUCAGCCUUCCCACCUGAAGAUCAACAUGCCUGGCACUCUAGCACUUGAGGAUAGCUGAAUGAAUGUGUAUUUCUUUGUCUCUUUCUUUCUUGUCUUUGCUCUUUGUUCUCUAUCUAAAGUGUGUCUUACCCAUUUCCAUGUUUCUCUUGCUAAUUUCUUUCGUGUGUGCCUUUGCCUCAUUUUCUCUUUUUGUUCACAAGAGUGGUCUGUGUCUUGUCUUAGACAUAUCUCUCAUUUUUCAUUUUGUUGCUAUUUCUCUUUGCUCUCCUAGAUGUGGCUCUUCUUUCACGCUUUAUUUCAUGUCUCCUUUUUGGGUCACAUGCUGUGUGCUUUUUGUCCUUUUCUUGUUCUGUCUACCUCUCCUUUCUCUGCCUACCUCUCUUUUCUCUUUGUGAACUGUGAUUAUUUGUUACCCCUUCCCCUUCUCGUUCGUUUUAAAUUUCACCUUUUUUCUGAGUCUGGCCUCCUUUCUGCUGUUUCUACUUUUUAUCUCACAUUUCUCAUUUCUGCAUUUCCUUUCUGCCUCUCUUGGGCUAUUCUCUCUCUCCUCCCCUGCGUGCCUCAGCAUCUCUUGCUGUUUGUGAUUUUCUAUUUCAGUAUUAAUCUCUGUUGGCUUGUAUUUGUUCUCUGCUUCUUCCCUUUCUACUCACCUUUGAGUAUUUCAGCCUCUUCAUGAAUCUAUCUCCCUCUCUUUGAUUUCAUGUAAUCUCUCCUUAAAUAUUUCUUUGCAUAUGUGGGCAAGUGUACGUGUGUGUGUGUCAUGUGUGGCAGAGGGGCUUCCUAACCCCUGCCUGAUAGGUGCAGAACGUCGGCUAUCAGAGCAAGCAUUGUGGAGCGGUUCCUUAUGCCAGGCUGCCAUGUGAGAUGAUCCAAGACCAAAACAAGGCCCUAGACUGCAGUAAAACCCAGAACUCAAGUAGGGCAGAAGGUGGAAGGCUCAUAUGGAUAGAAGGCCCAAAGUAUAAGACAGAUGGUUUGAGACUUGAGACCCGAGGACUAAGAUGGAAAGCCCAUGUUCCAAGAUAGAUAGAAGCCUCAGGCCUGAAACCAACAAAAGCCUCAAGAGCCAAGAAAACAGAGGGUGGCCUGAAUUGGACCGAAGGCCUGAGUUGGAUGGAAGUCUCAAGGCUUGAGUUAGAAGUCUUAAGACCUGGGACAGGACACAUGGAAGGCCUAAGAACUGAGACUUGUGACACAAGGCCAACGACCUAAGAUUAGCCCAGGGUUGUAGCUGGAAGACCUACAACCCAAGGAUGGAAGGCCCCUGUCACAAAGCCUACCUAGAUGGAUAGAGGACCCAAGCGAAAAAGGUAUCUCAAGACUAACGGCCGGAAUCUGGAGGCCCAUGACCCAGAACCCAGGAAGGAUAGAAGCUUGAAGACCUGGGGAAAUCCCAAGAUGAGAACCCUAAACCCUACCUCUUUUCUAUUGUUUACACUUCUUACUCUUAGAUAUUUCCAGUUCUCCUGUUUAUCUUUAAGCCUGAUUCUUUUGAGAUGUACUUUUUGAUGUUGCCGGUUACCUUUAGAUUGACAGUAUUAUGCCUGGGCCAGUCUUGAGCCAGCUUUAAAUCACAGCUUUUACCUAUUUGUUAGGCUAUAGUGUUUUGUAAACUUCUGUUUCUAUUCACAUCUUCUCCACUUGAGAGAGACACCAAAAUCCAGUCAGUAUCUAAUCUGGCUUUUGUUAACUUCCCUCAGGAGCAGACAUUCAUAUAGGUGAUACUGUAUUUCAGUCCUUUCUUUUGACCCCAGAAGCCCUAGACUGAGAAGAUAAAAUGGUCAGGUUGUUGGGGAAAAAAAAGUGCCAGGCUCUCUAGAGAAAAAUGUGAAGAGAUGCUCCAGGCCAAUGAGAAGAAUUAGACAAGAAAUACACAGAUGUGCCAGACUUCUGAGAAGCACCUGCCAGCAACAGCUUCCUUCUUUGAGCUUAGUUUCUGGCAUCACUACCACUACUGAUUAAACAAGAAUAAGAGAACAUUUUAUCAUCAUCUGCUUUAUUCACAUAAAUGAAGUUGUGAUGAAUAAAUCUGCUUUUAUGCAGACACAAGGAAUUAAGUGGCUUCGUCAUUGUCCUUCUACCUCAAAGAUAAUUUAUUCCAAAAGCUAAGAUAAA